rnacentral:tRNA from 1 species
GCAUUCGUGGUUCAGUGAUGGAAUUUUUGCUUUCCAUGUGAGAGACCCAGGUUCAAUUCCCGGCCAACGCA